AGUUGAGAAGGAAUAUAAGAGGAAGAACAUGUGUCUUUAAGGGAAGAUAAUUCUUCUGUUUUGUAAGUGCUGGAAUUGAGUACUUCUGAGACUCAGGCUAAGAGGAUCAGACCCUCUGGGCAGCAGAAGCACGGGAUACAAUCUGAUGCAUGGCCAUGACCUCAAGAGAAGAGUCUAGGCUGGACAUGCAGAUUCAGAAGUCAACAUCAUAAGCAUUCCAAGAUAAAAGUUCAAGUGAAAGUCGUUGAUGGAGGCCUGAAGUCCUCAUGCGGGGGACACUAGCUAAACCGUAGUACCAAGUUAGGAGCCCAGAAGAAGCAUCAUCCUUGUCCAAAUGCACCAUUGGGAUUUUAUAUAUUUUACCCCAGCUGCUUACUUUCCAGCCACCAAUGCUCAAG